GAUGAACGCUGGCGGCGUGCUUAACACAUGCAAGUCGAACGGACCCAUAUUGAAACCUAGUGAUAUAUGGGUUAGUGGCGGACGGGUGAGUAACGCGUGGGUAACCUGCCCUGUACAGGGGGAUAACACUUAGAAAUAGGUGCUAAUACCGCAUGAGCGCACAAAGGCGCAUGCCUAUGUGCGGGAAGCCCGCGAGGGCGGUACGGGAUGGGCCCGCGUCUGAUUAGCCAGUUGGCAGGGUAACGGCCUACCAAAGCGACGAUCAGUAGCCGGCCUGAGAGGGUGGACGGCCACAUUGGGACUGAGACACGGCCCAAACUCCUACGGGAGGCAGCAGUGGGGGAUAUUGCACAAUGGGGGAAACCCUGAUGCAGCGACGCCGCGUGAGUGAAGGAGCGUUUCGGCGCGUAAAGCUCUAUCAGCAGGGAAGACAAACUGCCCCGGAAGGGGCAGCCGGACGGUACCUGACCAAGAAGCCCCGGCUAACUACGUGCCAGCAGCCGCGGUAAUACGUAGGGGGCAAGCGUUAUCCGGAUUUACUGGGUGUAAAGGGAGCGUAGACGGCAAGACAAGCCUGGAGUGAAAGGCGGGGGCCCAACCCCCGGACUGCUCUGGGAACUGUCUGGCUGGAGUGCAGGAGGGGUAAGUGGAAUUCCUAGUGUAGCGGUGAAAUGCGUAGAUAUUAGGAGGAACACCAGUGGCGAAGGCGGCUUACUGGACUGUAACUGACGUUGAGGCUCGAAAGCGUGGGGAGCAAACAGGAUUAGAUACCCUGGUAGUCCACGCAGUAAACGAUGAAUGCUAAUUGUCCGGAGGGAUUGACCUCUGGGUGAUACAGCGAAAGCGUUAAGCAUUCCACCUGGGGAGUACGCCGGCAACGGUGAAACUCAAAGGAAUUGACGGGGGCCCGCACAAGCGGAGGAACAUGUGGUUUAAUUCGAUGAUACGCGAGGAACCUUACCCGGGCUCAAACGCAGGAGGAAUACAUUUGAAAGGGUGUAGCUCUACGGAGUCUUCUGCGAGGUGCUGCAUGGUUGUCGUCAGCUCGUGCCGUGAGGUGUCGGCUUAAGUGCCAUAACGAGCGCAACCCCUAUCGACAGUUGCCAACAGGUUAAGCUGGGAACUCUGUCGAGACUGCCGGCGCAAGCUGCGAGGAAGGCGGGGAUGACGUCAAAUCAGCACGGCCCUUACGUCCGGGGCGACACACGUGUUACAAUGGCAGGUACAGCGGGAUGCCACGGGGCGACCCGGCGCUGAACCCGAAAACCUGUCUCAGUUCGGAUUGGAGUCUGCAACUCGACUCCAUGAAGCUGGAUUCGCUAGUAAUCGCGCAUCAGCCACGGCGCGGUGAAUACGUUCCCGAGCCUUGUACACACCGCCCGUCAAGCUAUGAAAGCCGGGGGUACCUGAAGUGCGUAACCGCAAGGAGCGCCCUAGGGUAAAACUGGUGAUUGGGGCU
rnacentral:rRNA from 1 species